rnacentral:rRNA from 1 species
UGAAUGCCUUGGUACUAGGAGCCGAUGAAGGACGGGACUAACACCGAUAUGCUUCGGGGAGCGGUAAGUACGCUUUGAUCCGGAGAUUUCCGAAUGGGGAAACCCAAUCAUCUUAGUCGAUGAUUACUUGAGCAGUGAAUUCAUAGCUGCCAAGAGGUAGACGCAGUGAACUGAAACAUCUUAGUAGCUGCAGGAAGAGAAAGAAAAUUCGAUUCCCUGAGUAGCGGCGAGCGAAACGGGAAGAGCCCAAACCACUGAGCUUGCUCAGUGGGGUUGUAGGACUGAACUUUGGAGUUACCAAAGAAUCAGGUAGUCGAAGUGGCUGGGAAGCCACACCAGAGAUGGUGAUAGUCCAGUAGACGAAACCUGGUUCUCUCCGUUCAGGAUCCUGAGUACGGCGGGACACGUGAAACCCCGUCGGAAUCCGCGAGGACCAUCUCGCAAGGCUAAAUACUCCCUAGUGACCGAUAGUGAACCAGUACCGUGAGGGAAAGGUGAAAAGCACCCCGGGAGGGGAGUGAAAUAGUUCCUGAAACCAUGUGCCUACAAGCUGUCGGAGCCCGUUAAUGGGUGACGGCGUGCCUCUUGCAGAAUGAACCGGCGAGUCAUGAUUACGUGCAAGGUUAAGGUGGAAAAACCGGAGCCGCAGCGAAAGCGAGUCUGAAAUGGGCGUACGAAGUACGUAGUUAUGUACCCGAAACCAGGUGACCUACCCAUGUCCAGGGUGAAGGUGCGGUAAAACGCACUGGAGGCCCGAACCCGUGUCUGUUGAAAAAGGCUGGGAUGAGGUGUGGGUAGCGGUGAAAUUCCAAACGAACUUGGAGAUAGCUGGUUCUCUCCGAAAUCUCUUUAGGGGGAGCCUCGGAAUCGAGAAUCUUGGAGGUAGAGCACUGUUUGGACGAGGGGCCCGUCAUGGGUUACCGACUUCAGAUAAACUCCGAAUGCCAAUGAUUUAUGUCCGGGAGUCAGACGAUGAGUGAUAAGAUCCACCGUCGAAAGGGGAACAGCCCAGAUCACCAGUUAAGGUCCCUAAAUAUAUGCUAAGUGGAAAAGGAUGUGGAGUUGCAUAGACAACUAGGAUGUUGGCUCAGAAGCAGCCAUCAUUUAAAGAGUGCGUAAUAGCUCACUAGUCGAGUGA